UUUGAGUUUAUUUCUCUUAUGAUAGUAAUUUCAGUUUGCUUAACAAGACUGUUCACGAGCCUAUUCGCGAGUCUGCUCAUGAACUCAGAAACGAGCCGAGCUCACGAGUCUUAACGAGCCGAAUACUAUGGAGUUCAAGUUUGACUCGUUUACCAAACGAGUCUAAAAAUUAAGCUCGAGUUUGGCUCGUUUAGAAAUCGAGUCGAGUUCGAUCGAGCUUUUAUCAAAUCGAAUUUCGAAUAGCUCACGAACGGUUUGGUUCAUUUACAGCCCUAGCCAUUCAAUAUAUAUAAUAGGGUUUUUCCUAAGUUUUAAUAUAAUUUUAGUAUGACUUUAAUUAAAAUUAAAUAAAAUAUGUUUGAUUUAAAUUAAAAAAAAAAAAGGAAAAGUCCAUAGGGGUGUAAACGAACCGAGUCGAGCCGAGCUUUGAAGAGCUCAAGCUUGGUUCGUUAAAAUUUUUUCGAGCUCGAGCCGAAUUCGAGCUUUACUCAUAUCGAACUCGAGCCGAGUAUUAAGAAGCUCAAGCUUGGCUCGUUUAGCAAUCGAGCUUAGACGAAUCGAGCUUUUAUCGAGCUGAGUCGAGCUUUUACCGAGCUGAGUCUUAAAUAGUUUACGAGUAAUUUAAUUUAUUUACAUGUAUAAUGAGUUUUAGUUUAAAAUUAAUAAGUUUAAAACUAAAAUAAUUUUAGUUAAAUAAGUAUAUCUAUAAAUUAGCAUGUAAACUUAUAAAUAUGAGUUUUUAAAUAUUAAUGAUCUAAAUAUAUGCAAGUUUAAGAGUAUAAUUAAACUACAUAGAGCUGAAUUUUAAAAAAUUCAGAUUUGGCUCAUGAAAGUAUAUGCAGGGUUUAGUUUAUUUCUCUUAUGAUAGUAAUUUCAGUUUACUUAACGAGACUGUUCACGAGCCUAUUCGCGAGCCUGCUCAUGAACUCAUAAAUGAGUCGAGCUCACGAGCCUUAACGAGCCGAAUACUAUGGAGCUCAAGCUUGGCUCGUUUACUAAACGAGCCUAAAAAUUAAGCUCGAGCUUGGCUCGUUUAGAAAUCGAGUCGAGCUCGGUCGAGCUUUUAUCGAAUCGAACCUCGAAUAGCUCACGAACGGUUUGGCUCAUUUACACCCCUAAAA
rnacentral:lncRNA from 1 species